AUCAGAUAUCUGCCAUGAACAUGCCUAACCAAGCAGAUUCUUCUGUCCAGACAAACAGUGAUUUAUGAUCAACUAGAGAAAAUGUAUGAGAGGAAUAUACAGGAUCUCUCUAUAUUACCAUAUAUCCUGUUUUCUUCAUAUCAAAUCAACUGUAAGGAGACACGUGACGGGAUGACGUGAGCCAUCAGCCUCGCACCCUGGACCCGCCGAGCGCUCGCAAGCCGGACUACUGGCAAAAAUGCUGGAAAGCUGUGUACAAGACCGUCAACAGAAAAUGCCUACUAAGGGAUAUUAAAAUAAACAACAAGGGGGUGAAAAAAAAUGUGCAUUUGCGCCACGGAUACGUAGGACUUAAACAUCCUCUUUGCCUCUUCCCCCCCCCCUCCCAGCCAGGUGAGCAAUACUGAGUGGGUGUAUGGACUUGUGGGAUAUGCAAUGGGAAUAUCGGAAGAGCAAGGUUUAUACCCGAGUUAUGGUGUUUGAAAACUCUCCCUG